GAUGAACGCUGGCGGCGUGCCUAAUACAUGCAAGUCGAGCGAACGGACGAGAAGCUUGCUUCUCUGAUGUUAGCGGCGGACGGGUGAGUAACACGUGGAUAACCUACCUAUAAGACUGGGAUAACUUCGGGAAACCGGAGCUAAUACCGGAUAAUAUUUUGAACCGUAUGGUUCAAAAGUGAAAGACGGUCCUGCUGUCACUUAUAGAUGGAUCCGCGCUGCAUUAGCUAGUUGGUAAGGUAACGGCUUACCAAGGCAACGAUGCAUAGCCGACCUGAGAGGGUGAUCGGCCACACUGGAACUGAGACACGGUCCAGACUCCUACGGGAGGCAGCAGUAGGGAAUCUUCCGCAAUGGGCGAAAGCCUGACGGAGCAACGCCGCGUGAGUGAUGAAGGUCUUCGGAUCGUAAAACUCUGUUAUUAGGGAAGAACAUAUGUGUAAGUAACUGUGCACAUCUUGACGGUACCUAAUCAGAAAGCCACGGCUAACUACGUG
rnacentral:rRNA from 1 species